AGGAUUUGGAGAAUAAUUAGAUGG
rnacentral:piRNA from 1 species